AUUAAAUCUGUUGAAUAUUUGAAAGAUAUUAGAUAUAAGAUAAAAGAUUUUAUCAACAGAAGAUUCAAAGUCCAAGCCCAAUCAAGCCCUAUAUAAAGAGAUCCAGGGGAGGCUGAAAAGGGGGAGCUUCAUUCAUUCAUUCAUCCACCACUGCUUUCACUUUUCUUUCAUUAUGUGUUUCUAAGCUCCUAGGGUUAUUCUGUUGUAAUUUCAUUA
rnacentral:lncRNA from 1 species